AAAUGUACUCUGUCUGUCAACAGCGAGAAGAACCGCCACUCUGCUCCAACAUCAGUCAAACUUAAAGCAGCAGCAGCUUUGCCCGGCAGAUAGAAGCGGAGUCCUCUUUUUUUUGUUGUUGCGCAAAAACUAACAGGGAAAAAAACAUGUCAAAGAGGCUUGGAUCACCGGUAAAACCCUCUGAUGAACAGCCA